UAAGUUAUUUAUUGACUAAAAACUUUUUAGUAUAUUGUAAAUAUUUAUCUUUUUUAUUUCUUUCCUUGUUUACAAUAAAAUAGAUGACUCGAGUGUUACAAACAAUAGUUUUUAAGGAAUAAUGUGAAAUAAGUUAAUUUUUAUAGGGUAAAUAACUUAAUCAACAUGAUAACUUAAUAACAUUAGUCCUACCAUACACUAACUUAGAUGAUCCUGCAGCAAAGGCUGUAAUUUGACCUGAACCCAAAUUGGUCUCUAUUUUAAAUAUUGUCUUGAACCAAUAAGUUAAGAGGACUAACCUUUCUGGACGACAUUGCCAUCGACAUCACUGCAGAUGAGAGAGAAAGAGAGACCAGAGUUGUGGACCCUGGAGGCAAUUACAAUACUGCCGAUAAUGUUACUUGGUCUAACCAUAACUUAAGUGAGAACUGAAGCCUACCAGUAAAAUGGGGGCGUUGUAAUUAAUAUCCUCCGACAUUGGAGAAUACAGGGGAGAGGUGUCAGAGGAAGAGGAGAUGGAGGAUGGGGCGAAGUAAAGACUAAGAUUGAAGAGAACUAACUAAUGGUAAGUUUUGCCAUUUACUUAUAAAUCCAGGGCCGUGUCCAUUGCCCCCAAGCCUAUGUCGCAUAACCCUCCUGAAUUACUAGUAUUUAACCAGCAUUUUAACUCGAGAGGCGCUCAAAAAUUUGCUUUUGUUUUUUAGGAAAUGUAGGCUAUAUUUUUUGACACCAUAAUUAUAAUUGUUCUGAAUAUGUCAUAGUUUUUACAUUUGGUAAGUACUGAAACAACAAUAAUUUUAAGACAAAUGGAAAAGCCCCUGUCAACAGAAGCAGUUGAAACAAGUAUAAAAAAUUCUCAUACAUCAAUAAGGUAUUUAGUACAAGCGUGGUUCAAUAAGACCUUAGAAGAAUAUAGUAUAACACAAUUUUUGUGAUAAAUUUGAUUUAUUUUGCUAUAAUCUCCUUUUAUUUAGCUCUAUACACUUAUCUUAAAGUUUCUCCAACCUCGUUCAAAUUAUGUCCAAAUAAAUAGUACCCUACAAACUUGAAAAGCCUUCAAAAUACUCUUCUGUUUCAGUGAUGACCAGCUCCAUGGCAACUAAAAAUGUCUGCACGUAGGCCUUGAAGCGCCCCUAUCCCCACCACCUUCUGCCAGUCACUCGCCCGACAGGGCAGCAAAGAAAACUGUCAGAUAAUUUUGCCACACUCUGUACAUUAUAUUUUGUCCUAUACAAAAUGGGUUUAAUAUGGGUCGGCACUUAUAUAUUGAUCCAAACGAUUACUGCAAUUGUGGCAAAAUUAAACGAUAUUGUCCUCGGUAAUGACCAAAUCGUGAUUGCAGGGUCAUCAUCUUCAUCUCCCAAGGUCGCCAGUGUUUAAAAUUGUGGGCAUCCUCGGAGCAAUCGUGAACAUCUUUCGCGGUUGCGAGGCCUGAUUAUCGUCACCCGCGAUCGCUGGUAGUCGUAAAUUUCGAUCACGCAAUCUUUGCAGACGCUUUCGGCUAUCAUGAGAAUACAAGAAAAACUUGGCUUAUUGUACCCCUAAUUCUAACAGAUUGUGGGAAAAUUAAUUUUCCAAGAGAAAAAGCAUUCUUUUGAGGCCCCAAGUGAGUCCCCUUCCCA